rnacentral:rRNA from 1 species
GUAAGCCGUUGAAGGUGUGUUGUAAAGCAUGCUGGAGGUAUCAGAAGUGCGAAUGCUGACAUGAGUAACGACAAGGGGGGUGAAAAACCUCCCCGCCGGAAGACCAAGGGUUCCUGUCCAACGUUAAUCGGGGCAGGGUAAGUCGACCCCUAAGGCGAGGCUGAAAAGCGUAGUCGAUGGGAAACGGGUUAAUAUUCCCGUACUUCUUACAAUUGCGAUGGGGGGACGGAGAAGGCUAGGUGGGCCUGGCGACGGUUGUCCAGGUUCAAGUGCGUAGGCUGAGUGUUUAGGUAAAUCCGGAUACUCUUAAGGCUGAGACACGACGUCGAGCUACUACGGUAGUGAAGUCAUUGAUGCCAUGCUUCCAGGAAAAGCCUCUAAGCUUCAGAUUGUAAGGAAUCGUACCCCAAACCGACACAGGUGGUCGGGUAGAGAAUACCAAGGCGCUUGAGAGAACUCGGGUGAAGGAACUAGGCAAAAUGGUACCGUAACUUCGGGAGAAGGUACGCUCUUGAUGGUGAAGUCCCUUGCGGAUGGAGCUGACGAGAGUCGCAGAUACCAGGUGGCUGCAACUGUUUAUUAAAAACACAGCACUGUGCAAAAUCGUAAGAUGACGUAUACGGUGUGACGCCUGCCCGGUGCCGGAAGGUUAAUUGAUGGGGUUAGCGUAAGCGAAGCUCUUGAUCGAAGCCCCGGUAAACGGCGGCCGUAACUAUAACGGUCCUAAGGUAGCGAAAUUCCUUGUCGGGUAAGUUCCGACCUGCACGAAUGGCGUAAUGAUGGCCACGCUGUCUCCACCCGAGACUCAGUGAAAUUGAAAUCGCUGUGAAGAUGCAGUGUACCCGCGGCUAGACGGAAAGACCCCGUGAACCUUUACUACAGCUUGGCACUGAACAUUGAACCUACAUGUGUAGGAUAGGUGGGAGGCUUUGAAGACGUGACGCCAGUUGCGUUGGAGCCGUCCUUGAAAUACCACCCUUGUAUGUUUGAUGUUCUAACGUAGGCCCCUAAUCGGGGUUGCGGACAGUGCCUGGUGGGUAGUUUGACUGGGGCGGUCUCCUCCCAAAGAGUAACGGAGGAGCACGAAGGUGGGCUAAUCACGGUUGGACAUCGUGAGGUUAGUGCAAUGGCAUAAGCCCGCUUAACUGCGAGAAUGACGGUUCGAGCAGGUGCGAAAGCAGGUCAUAGUGAUCCGGUGGUUCUGAAUGGAAGGGCCAUCGCUCAACGGAUAAAAGGUACUCCGGGGAUAACAGGCUGAUACCGCCCAAGAGUUCAUAUCGACGGCGGUGUUUGGCACCUCGAUGUCGGCUCAUCACAUCCUGGGGCUGAAGUCGGUCCCAAGGGUAUGGCUGUUCGCCAUUUAAAGUGGUACGCGAGCUGGGUUUAGAACGUCGUGAGACAGUUCGGUCCCUAUCUGCCGUGGGCGUUGGAAGAUUGAAGGGGGCUGCUCCUAGUACGAGAGGACCGGAGUGGACGAACCUCUGGUGUUCGGGUUGUGUCGCCAGACGCAUUGCCCGGUAGCUAAGUUCGGAAUCGAUAACCGCUGAAAGCAUCUAAGCGGGAAGCGAGCCCUGAGAUGAGUCUUCCCUGAUACUUUAAGUAUCCUGAAGGGUUGUUCGAGACUAGAACGUUGAUAGGCAGGGUGUGUAAGCGCUGUGAGGCGUUGAGCUAACCUGUACUAAUUGCCCGUGAGGCUUAACCAU